rnacentral:rRNA from 1 species
AUGGGAGAUGAGAGAGGGGUGUUGGCCACCACGGCUGCUAUCUUACACUUUCCUGUUGUACAUUAUUUUGCAUUAUUUGUUGCUAAGUGUCUGCUUGCUAGAAAGAAAGUAGGCGCACUCAGCGCACCACACUUUGCUGUUUUAUGCCGGGCACUAGAGGGUGACAACACUUAUAGCUUGGGAGCUAUUGUGGCUCGUCGCUUGCAUCUUAAUAAAUCUCAGGGUGAAAUACAUGGUGGGAUUUUUUCUACUCGUUUGGCAGCUCACUUCGAGGUUGAGAUACGCCCUCAUGAUUACCUUCUGACUAAGAUUUACCUAGACCUUGCAGCCAUGGAACACCAUCACUUUCUUGCACAUGAUCGUCCUCACAUCGCCUUUCCUUACAACAUGGUCUAUAGCGUUGAAACUCGUGAUGUUAUUCCAUUGCCUACACCUGCUUUGUUUGAUUCUGCUGCCAGGGGUGGAUACUGGAUUAUGCCUGCGGACAUCAUUGCCUACUAG